UCACAUAAUAUAAUGCAGUGGGAGCUGGGUGUCACUCUGUUGGUGACAUCAGGGGUCCCUCGAAGUCACUAUACACUUUGGAUCCUGAUGCUUGAGAGACAUCAGUAAUGACAUGAGGAUGAGCCAGAGGUUAGAAACAUCAGAGGACAUUCUGGAAGUGAUGGCUGAGUUCAGAGUAAAGUUUUAGGAUAUGGCCAUUGUGUCCUGUGGCCAUUCACCUUAUUUGUUAACAUUCUCUCCCUCUUCCUUAAUUGAUUGUGUAGGUAGUUAUCUGUGUGCUGUGUAUUCACAAGGAGAAUGGAAGAGUCCAUUUAGAGAAAAAUCCAUUUUGCUUUGAGGUGAGAACCACCAGGGGCUGGCACAGGCUAGGAACUUAUUGGCUGGAAUGGACAGUGCUGCUCUUUUCAUAUGCUUUCCCUUCAAAUCUUAGCGUUCCCCUUUUCUUUGCUACUCAUUCAGUGUAUACUUCUAUAAAAUGAGAAGGGCCAUGUUUUGAACUCACAAAUAGAGCAAAGAGAGAGAGAGAGAAAAGCAAAAAGAAGAGAAAGGCUUUUCUGGGAUCGUUGAGAAUAUAUUGGAAAAGUAAAGUAAGAGAAGAGAAAUUAAGCAUGAAGUAUGUGUGUAUGAGAGAGAACCAGCCAGCCAGCCAGAGACAGGAAGUCAGAGAGAAAAAGAGACAGACACAGACACAGACACAGAUACAGAAACUGAAACAGAGAUAGAGACAGGCGGACAGAGACAAGUUCAGUUCAUUGUUACUUUCUUCAGGCAGCUUUUUCUGAUACCCCUAAUUGUAAGUAGUUUUUCCCUCCUCAAAGUGUCAGGCAUAUACUUUUCUCCAUGCAUAUUUUAUCCUUCAUUUUUCAGCAGAAUGUGAAGGCGAGGACUUUUGUUCAUGGUUUUUCUUGAUGAACAUUGUUUUCCAGUUAUUCAGUUGUGUCCAACUCUUCUUGAUCCCAUGAGCCAUAGCAUGCUAAAGAUGUUCAUAGAAGUUUUUUGGCAGAGAUACUGGAAAGGUUCGCCAUUUCCUUCUCCAAUGGACUGAGGCAAACAGAGGUUAGAGACUUGUCCAGGGACACACAUAGCUAAGUAAAUGUCUGAAACUGGAUUUGAACUCAGGUCUUCCUGACUCCAGCACUCCAUUCAUUGAACCAUCUAACUUCCACUUUCCUUGAACAUAUAAUAUGUUUAAUGAAUGUCUGAUGAAUUGAAAUGUGGCUAAUGGAUAGUUUGGCCCAGUGGAGAGAGCACUGGACUAGAAGUCAUUAAGACCUACCUUAGACACAUACUAACUGUGACACCAUGACUAAGUGGUCCAUCCACAGUUUUUCAUUUGUAAAAUGGAGUCAAUAAAAGCAUCUACUUCUCAGGAUUGUCAUGUAGAUUCAAUGAGAUUGUGUACAUAUAAAUGUUGCUGUAUAUACAUUCACACACAUACACAUACAUAUAUGUAUAUGUUUGUGCAUAAACUUUAAGUCUUAAAACAUGAUACUAAUAGCCAUUAUAAUCAUGGCAUAUUGCCUUCCUAUAGUGUACGUUAUUUGUCUUUGUUUCCCCAGAGGUGCCCAGUGCCCAGGACUUAGUAAGUCCUUUCCAAAUGUUUAGUGACUGAAUGAGAGACAUCAUCUAGAAUUCAUAGCAACAGAUAAGAUGAUGGUGGGAGGGAACAAAGGAAGGAGGGGAGUGAGGGAACACAGAGAGUAUGAAUUUUGCUCUACUAUCCAUGAAAUUUUGGUGAUGAAUAGCUAAAUCACCUUCCUAACUGCUGCCACCCAUUCUAUAUUUCCUUAACUUGUCCUCAGUAAGAGGCUGGCUGAGCCUUGGAUACUCAGCACCUCCCCACCUCCCUCAGGCUCCUCUCUCCUCUGAGCAGAAACUAAGAGCCUCCCAAAGCCUUCCUCUAGAGGUGACAGGAUCUGGACUUGCAACUCGGCUUGGUUUCAGCUCCACAAGACUUGGCCCCUGGUGUCCCUCUUCACCCUUUCCAGCUUCCUUUUAUUUUAAUUGCUGUCUACCAGUAGACUGUAAGUUCCCAACAGGCUGAGGCUGUCUUUCUUUCCCCUGUUUACAUCCCUAGUGCUUAGAAGGCACAGUGCCUAGCACACAGUAGGGGCCUCAUAAAUGCUUAUUAAAUUGUUUGUUUUUCCAAAAGGGAGCAAGCUAUGUCUUUCCCCCUAACCCUGGGCACCAUUUCUGUAGAGAGAUGCAAUUUAAGCUCUGUACAUGAGCUCUCUUAUUAUUUAUGAAAUAAAUUUAUCCCAGCGGCACUCUCAUUUUGGAGCAGGGAAAGCAAUCAGCCAAUGUCUAUCCAUAAGGGCGUAAUCGAAUGACUAAAACCAGUCCCCGUGCUAGUUACAGGCAUAGACAGAAGGCAGCCCGACAGUCAGGCGUUGGUGCUGGUAGCUGACAAUGCCACACACCAUGAUCAUCUGGGAAGCCCUGGAGUGUUCCUUGGAGAUCAAUUUCAGUGAUUUGAUGACAUGUUUCCCCUCACCCACAUCACUCUGCCAUUUCCCCCCUGCUCAUACUUGACCAAACCACAAAUAAAUGCCGAGCCCACCAUUUCAUAUUUCUCCCCUUAAAUGUUCUUCCACUUAUUUUCCUGCUGACUUGGUGUUCUUAGGAACCGAGUACCUUACAAAUGUUAAAGAGGGCAAAUAGUUUCUUUUUUAAUUACUCUCCAAAUAUUUACAUCCUGCAAUACAUCCUGUGAUUACAAUUAUACUUAUCAGCUUUCCAUCCCAACCCAAAUUACUGCAACAUUAAACCUUAUUUGGGGUUAUAAUAGCAACAAGAAAAUGCAACAAUCUUACUUUGCUGAAGAGAAGGAACUUUAUCAUUUAUUAGGUUUACUCGCCAAAGGUUCUUAUGCCUAGAAACAAAUGGGCUAUCCCCCUUUGCUUCCUUCAUGUAAGCUCAAUGUGAAGGGGGUUCAUUGAGUCUUUGAAUUUGUCUCCCAAGCACCUACUUAGCACAAUGUCUGGCACAUGGUAGGUACCUAAUGAAGGCUUGUUUACUGGCAGAUAGAACAUCUGAUGGGAUGUUUAAAAUAAUAGCUACCAUUUAUAUAGUGUUUUAGGUUUUCAAACUCCCUAUGUGACAUUCUCAUUUGGUCUCCCCACCAAAUCUGUAAAGUAGGUGCUUGUACUCAUUUUUUUUUGGAUGAGUAAGUGAAGGUCAAGUAACUUGCCUAGAAGCACAGAAAUUUGAACCCAGGUUUUCCUGACUCCAAGUCUAGCUCUCUAGUUAAUAUGUCACCUGGCUUCCCUAAGAGAGCUAAAGAAAAGAUAGUUUUUCCCCAGUGUUGUUUACUAUAAAUAUCAUAGCCCCGAUAUUCUCUCAGGGCAUUAUUUUCACUUUUUCUUUGUGAUGCCAACCUUUCAGAUUGUACUUGGACAAUAUCUAUAUCUAAUCUAUCUAAAUCUAUAUUUAUAUCUAUAUUUAUUCAUGAAUUUUGCUUGCUUGAUUAAUUGACUGAUUGAUGACUUACUAUAUCAGAAAGUAAUUUAAGGGAAACUUUUACAACAAAUUAUCCUGCCAAGCACCAGGUUAUGGAGUGAAAAGGUAACAGUAGUAGUCUUUGGAGUUAAUUGGCUAAGUAAAUGUUUCUGUAAUUCUAUGCAUUUAAGAUAUUAUUUUUAAAUCAUCUUAACACCAAAAGAGAUUUUUUUCUUAAAAAAUGGAGCUUUCUGUUUCCAGAAUUAUAGAAGUUCAGAGUUGUAAAGGAUAUCAGAUAAUAUCUAGAACAAAAGUAUCAAACAUUUGUCCCUUCAGCAAAGUGGGAAAUAUUUUUAAAUGAAUAAAAAUACAGUGAAACAGAUAAUGUUAAUAUGUAGUUUUCUAAGACAAUAUAUGAUCCCCACAGAUUCUAAUGUAUAGUUUGAGUCUGAUUGAUCUAGACCCAUUUGUGUACAUAAUAUGAAUCCAUUCUACCACUUCUCCACUCUUUGCUUGAAUAGCUCCAGGGAGGGGAAAAGCCCAAGGUAGCUCAUUCUCUCAUUGUUUGGUUUCUCCAUCCACAAAAUCUAACUUUUAUUUUCUGAAAAUUCUAGCCAUUGCUUUUCAUUCUACUAUGUGGUUUAGGGAGAAUAAAUACAAUUUUUAAUAACAAUGACUUCAACUCUUAAAGCCAGCUAUAAUAUACUCCUUAUGUCUUCUUGUUUUUCAUUUUUUCUAGGCUCAAUAUUCUAACAUCCUUCCAACAGAUCUUGUAUUGCAGGAAUCAGUGAGAAAAAACAUAUACUUGAAAGAUUAAAAAAAAUUGGCAGAUGGCACACAUUUCAAAUAUACCGUAUAAUGGAUUUGGGAUCCAAAAGAAUCUCAAAGAGAGAGAGCAUUGGCUGAAUCCAGAGAUGAAAUUCACAAGGGAUCGAUGUAAAGCUUUCCAGUGGCAAAGAACUCAAAACCAAGAUGAGGUUAGCCCAUUGUUAAGACAGCAGGUAAACCAAUUAUGGAAUACAAAUGGGAUGUAAUACUAUUCUGUUUAAGAAAUGAUGAAGGGGAUAGUUUCAGAAAAUCAUGGAAGUCUUGUAUGAAUGAAUGAAGAAAGAAAUGAGAAAAAUCAGGGAAGACAAAUGACUUUGAAAGACUUAAGAACGCUGAUAAAUACAAUAAGCCAUCACAAUUCCAGAGGACCAAUGACAUACCUCUUGGCAGAGAGUUAAUAAAUUCUGAAAUGUGAUUUUUGGACAUUACAAAAGUGGAAAUUCAUUUUUCCAGACAGAGCGUAAGUCUUCAUAACCUUUUGUCUUUCUUUGUUCCUCUUUGACCUGAAAUUGCCUGGUCUCUUGUGUUUUUAUUCCUCAGUGGCUAAGAAUGAUAUCCAUGUUCACAACCUUCUCUGCCUGGGGUCAUAAGUACUAUGGAGGCAAAUCUGAGUGUUAACUGAAAGAGAUCCAGAAGGAAGUGAUGCUAUUAUUUGCUAUUAGGGCAUAAAAUCCCAAGGAGCAAUGAGGAAAUUUGAGUGCAUAGGACGAAAGAAGGCAAAAAUGACAUGGAGAGAAAGUUGUGCUCUGUGUCUGACAAAGCAAAUUCCCACAUUUCUCAUGCUCCAAAAUCACGCUUCAGUUUGUACUUGGCAUUUCUUACCUCUCUGCCAGGAGAUAUGUUCCAGUAUUAUGAUGGUUUAUUUCGUUGAUCAGAGUUCUUAAGUCUUUCAAAAUUGUUUGUCUUCACAAUAUGAAUGAAUAAAUUAGUUCCUUGGUUUUUUUCACUUCUCUCUUCCUCAGUUCAUAUGUCUUCCACAUUUCUCUGAAACUGUCCCCUUCAGGAGUCAAGGCUCAAUAAUCAAAAUAAACUGAGUUCAAAUUCUGCCUCAAAUGCUACCUUUAUGAUUCUGGGUUAUCCAGCCCUGCAGCAGAACAUGCACUAAAGCACCAGAGACUUUAGUUUUCCAACAUUUGAGAGUUUAGACUAAAUGGCCUCUAAGAUCUCUUUUGCAGCUAGGUAGAACCAUAAUGUACAGAUUUCUGGGCCUGGAGUUAGGAAGAGUCUUCUUGUAUUCAAAUCUGGCUUCAGGCACUUACAACCCUGUUUGCCUCAGUUUCCUCAAAAAUUGGAGAAGGAAGUACAUGCUUCUACACUAUCUUUGCCAAGCAAUGCCCAAAUGGUGUAACAAAGAGUCAGAUGUGACUGAAAUGAUUAGAUAACAUCAGCAACAACACCAGUCUCUUUUGGCUCUAAAUCUAUGAAUCUAUGAAACUCAAGUCUAGGGGGGUUAAGGCCCUUGACCAAAGUCAGAUAAAUUGUGGCAGAGGCAGCUGAACUUAUAACUUUUUACUCCACAGUUAAUAGUCUUUCUGAUCCUUCAAGGGGGUUCUUAACUUGGGAUUUGGGGAAUUUUUAAACAUUUUAUUUUUAAAAAAUCCAUAUUGAUAUAAUUAACUUCCUUUGUAAUCCAUGUAUUUAAUUUUAUUCCUUUUAAAAUAUUAUUUUCAGAAGGGGUUCAUAGUUUUAUUAGGUGGCCCAAUGGAUCUAAAAAAAGGAUUGGGGAUCCUGGCAUUGCCCUCUAUUGUUAUCUUUUUUUUUUUAAACCCUUACUUUCCAUCUUGGAGUUAAUACUGUGUAUUGGCUCCAAGGCAGAAGAGUGGUAAGGGCUAGGCCAUGGGGGUCAAGUGACUUGCUCAGGGUCACAUAGCUGGGAAGUGUCUGAAGCCAGAUUUGAACCUAGGACCUCCCUUCUCUAGGCCUGGCUCUCAAUCCACUGAGCUACCCUGCUGCCCCACCUAUUGUUAUCUUAACUGCAUUUUGUCUCAGUUUACAAUGCAGACCAGAAGAAAUGUUGAAGACUUAGGAAUAUCAUGGGAAAAAAUGUGUCCAGUUUCUAAAAAUUUCAAAUCAAUUCUCUGUCUGAUUUUUAAAACAAGGAGAAGGGCAAGAGGCCAAUGUCAUAGAAGUAUAUUAUCUAACUACAAGACUGGGGAGAGGGAAAGAGAAUGAUGAGACCUCAUCCUGUUUUAAACAGACUUGCCUAGAGUAACGCUUACUUGAGUUUUUGCCAGAAAAUGGGCAAGAUGGGUAAUAAAUUUAAUGUUCUCUUUGCUUUGUUCAGAGAAGUGAUUUUAGGGAAUCUAAAAAGAGCACCCAAGUCAGAGCAGUAAGUCAUAGUUUCUAUGUGGAAGAUGAGAACGAAGAAAUAUUGUGAGGGAUGUCAAUGAUGCUACUUCCUCUUUGUUGUCCAUUCUCUGUAGUAAGUGAAAGGCAUCAAUGUUCAAGCAACUUGACUAAAUAUAUUUUCAGACAAGGAGACAAACUCACUAUAUAAUUUCUGCUGCUGUUUUCUUGCAGCCACAAUCUUUCCAUUUUUUGAGCUGCUUUAACCCUUCCUGUCAACAUCCAAGUCUUAAGGCUUUAAAUAGCAUGUGGAAAACCAUGUUGGCACUGGACAGUAAACCUUGCCUAGAUUACUCGAAGGGAGCUUCCCCGGCAGGAAUCAGAGCUGAAUUCCAGAAGUCUCUAGCAAAGAGCCCAUUAUUAGAGUUGUUCAAUGAAGUUCACUCAGAAAAUGCUUAUUAUGCACCUACUAUGUGGCAUACAAGUUUCUGGUCUGCGUCAUGGGACUGUAGAUUUGGCUGAGGACACACAGUAUGGAUACAGACCAUCAAAGACAGAAGAAAGUCAACGCAACUCAAAUUCUGUGAGGGAAGGACCCUAGCAAUUAUGAGAAGCAGUCUAGGAAGGAGUGCCUGAGCAGAGCUUUAAAUGUACCUAGAGGUUAUUAGGAGCAGAGGUGAUGAGAGAGGUUAGCCAGGGGAAAGGCAGAGACAUGGAGAUGGAAUGUUUCGCAUAGAGAACAGGAAGUAGACUCCUUUGACUGGAAAAGAGAGCACACGAAGGGGACCUGCAUGCACAAAGCGCAGAAGAUGGGCUGGUACCAGAUCAAUGAGGGUAGGACUUCUAGUGCCACAAAGGUGACCGGAUUUUCCUUAGGAGCUCUGGGAGGAGCCAUUGGAUCAGAAGAGUGGAGGGCACUUGUAAGGAAAAGUCUUUGUAAACUCUAAAGCUUUGUAAAAAUAUUGGCUAUUAUAAAAUGAGUUAUCCAGCUCUUUUUCUGCCUUAUGAAUACAGUUGAAAGUAAACAUAUCUCCACGUAAGUGUACAUAUCUGUGCAGAUUUCAUGUAUACACACAUUUGAAUAUUUCACAUAACAACUGUGUACCCAAUUUGUUCGAUUCAUAUAGCAACCUGACAUUGUUUUAUUGUUAUAAAGAUGAAACUGAGGAACAUGAUUUCCUUUUUUUAGUGGAAAGAAAAAGAUCAUUUAAAAAUAAAUGAGAACAGAAUUAUGGUAGAGAGUGUCAGGCCCAAACCAGAUCAUCUCUCAAGUGACAGAGUUCAAAGACAUGAUGAGAGAAUUUUAUUUUGAAGUUGUACUCUUCAGCUGUGAGGGUGCCUAAUAAAGAGCCCAAUUAACCAUGCCAAAGGAGCAGUCAUUGAGUCCUCCACCACUUUAAGGCAUCCCAGAAGCCCUGGCUCACCAUUAUCAGGUUGUUAAAACCUGGGAGGUUGUUUGUUUUUAGUUUCUUUUCCCCCCCUUUUUAAUUAAGGGAUUAAACAAAGGGGUGUACUGAAAAGCUGACUCCAUAGUCACAGUCUCAAGGAGUAGAGAGGAAUGAAAAAGAAGAAGCUAUAUGAGGUUGUGGUCUAUUGAUGAAAUGAGAAAACUGGGUUCAAGUCCUACUUCUGAUCCUUCAGAGUCAUGUGCCCCUGAGCAAGUCAUGUAACCUUUCUGAGCCUCAGGACACUCCCAAAGAUCCAAAGUUUCCAAUGGACUAUGGUCUCUGUGGAGUGACUUUGUCACUAACAAAGGCAUGACAUCAAACAUGAGAA